rnacentral:tRNA from 1 species
GCCUGGUUGGAUCAGUUGAUAAGAGUGUGCGACUGUUGAUCUCAAGGGUCGUGAGUUUGAGCCCCACAUUGGGCA